GCUCCCAACGAACCAUCAGGUAGAUGGAGCUGAAGUCUCCCCAGAAUCUGACCAGAAAGAUGGACUCAUAGAAGGAAAUCCCCCCGAGAGAUGUCUCCGUCCUCUGUAUUCCCAGGACUGUCUAGAGGAGAAGCUCCCAGAGAACCAUCAGAUGACAAAUCAGGGGGAAGAUGUAACUGAUAUUAAAGUGGAGGAUGAAG